rnacentral:rRNA from 1 species
AGAGUUUGAUUCUGGCUCAGAUUGAACGCUGGCGGCAUGCUUUACACAUGCAAGUCGAACGGUAACGCGGGGGCAACCCUGGCGACGAGUGGCGAACGGGUGAGUAAUACAUCGGAACGUGUCCUGAGGUGGGGGAUAACCUGGCGAAAGCCAAGCUAAUACCGCAUACGCUCGGGAGAGGAAAGCGGGGGAUCGGAAACGACCUCGCGUCGCAGGAGCGGCCGAUGUCCGAUUAGCUAGUUGGUGGGGUAAAGGCUUACCAAGGCGACGAUCGGUAGCUGGUCUGAGAGGAUGAUCAGCCACACUGGGACUGAGACACGGCCCAGACUCCUACGGGAGGCAGCAGUGGGGAAUUUUGGACAAUGGGGGCAACCCUGAUCCAGCCAUGCCGCGUGAGUGAAGAAGGCCUUCGGGUUGUAAAGCUCUUUCGGUGGGAACGAAACGGUUACCCCUAACACGGGUGACUACUGACGGUACUCACAGAAGAAGCACCGGCUAACUACGUGCCAGCCGCCGCGGUAA